rnacentral:rRNA from 1 species
GACAGAGGGUGCAAACGUUGUUCGGAAUUACUGGGCGUAAAGCGCGUGUAGGCGGCAAGGCAAGUCGGAUGUGAAAGCCCACGGCUCAACCGUGGAAGUGCACCCGAAACUGCCUAGCUAGAGUCUCGGAGAGGAAGGUGGAAUGCUUGGUGUAGAGGUGGAAUGCGUAGAGAUCCGGAAGAACACCGGUGGCGAAGGCGGCCUGCUGGGCAGUAUGGCUGACACUGGGGCGCGACAGCGUGGGGAGCAAACAGG